rnacentral:rRNA from 1 species
AGAAUCAACGCUGGCGGCGUGCCUAACACAUGCAAGUCGAACGAGAAAGUGGAGCAAUCCAUGAGUAAAGUGGCGCACGGGUGAGUAACACGUGACUAACCUACCCUUGAGUGGGGAAUAACUUCGGGAAACCGAGGCUAAUACCGCAUAACACCUACGGGUCAAAGGAGCAAUUCGCUUAAGGAGGGGGUCGCGGCAGAUUAGUUAGUUGGCGGGGUAAUGGCCCACCAAGACGGUGAUCUGUAUCCGGCCUGAGAGGGCGCACGGACACACUGGAACUGAAACACGGUCCAGACUCCUACGGGAGGCAGCAGUGGGAAUUUGCGCAAUGGGGGAAACCCUGACGCAGCAACGCCGCGUGGAGGAUGAAGUCCCUUGGGACGUAAACUCCUUUCGAUCGGGACGAUUAUGACGGUACCGGAAGAAGAAGCCCGGCUAACUUCGCGCCAGCAGCCGC